UGACCUCAGAUCAGGCAAGGCAACCCGCUGAAUUUAAGCAUAUUAAUGAGCGGAGGAAAAGAAACUAACAAGGAUUCCCCUAGUAAUGGCGAAUGAAGCGGGAACAGCUCAAAUUUAAAAUCUCCGUUGCUUGCAACGGCGAAUUGUAGUUUCGAGAAGCACUUUCUCGGCGGAUCCGAGGUCGUCCAAGUUGCUUGGAACAGCACGUCGUAUAGGGUGACAACCCCGUCUGCGGCGAUCUCGGCCGUUCACGAUGUGCUUUCGACGAGUCGGGUUGUUUGGGAAUGCAGCCCAAAAUGGGUGGUAAACUCCAUCUAAAGCUAAAUAUUGGCACGAGACCGAUAGCGAACAAGUACCGUGAGGGAAAGAUGAAAAGCACUUUGAAAAGAGAGUUAAAAAGUACGUGAAACCGUUAAAAGGGAAACGAAUGGGGUUAGCAAUGCGUCGUGCGAGAUUCAGCCG
rnacentral:ncRNA from 1 species